rfam:Nicotiana attenuata strain TT scaffold03679, whole genome shotgun sequence.
AAGCCAUGAUUUGGAGACCUCACCAAAUAUAAUUUGAAUCGAUCCCAUGCCUCAUGUAGGUGUUCCCCUGGUUGUUGCUUGAAGAAGAAAAUCUUAUCUCGAAGCUC